rnacentral:rRNA from 1 species
UUCCGGUUGAUCCUGCCGGAGGCCAUUGCUAUCGGAGUCCGAUUUAGCCAUGCUAGUCGCACGAGUUCAUACUCGUGGCAAAUAGCUCAGUAACACGUGGCCAAACUGCCCUACGGACCAGGAUAACCUCGGGAAACUGAGGCUAAUCCUGGAUACGGCUCUCAUCCUGGAGUGGAGAGAGCUGGAAACGCUCCGGCGCCGUAGGAUGUGGCUGCGGCCGAUUAGGUAGAUGGUGGGGUAACGGCCCACCAUGCCCAUAAUCGGUACGGGUCAUGAGAGUGAGAGCCCGGAGACGGUAUCUGAGACAAGAUACCGGGCCCUACGGGGCGCAGCAGGCGCGAAACCUUUACACUGCACGUCAGUGCGAUAGGGGGACUCCGAGUGCGAGGGCAUACAGUCCUCGCUUUUCUGUACCGUAAGGUGGUACAGGAACAAGUGCUGGGCAAGACCGGUGCCAGCCGCCGCGGUAAUACCGGCAGCACGAGUGAUGGCCGAUCUUAUUGGGCCUAAAGCGUCCGUAGCCGGCCGGACAAGUCCGUUGGGAAAUCCACGUGCCCAACACGUGGGCGUCCAGCGGAAACUGUCCGGCUUGGGGCCGGAAGACUCGAGGGGUACGUCCGGGGUACGAGUGAAAUCCCGUAAUCCUGGACGGACCACCGGUGGCGAAAGCGCCUCGAGAAGACGGACCCGACGGUGAGGGACGAAAGCCAGGGUCUCGAACCGGAUUAGAUACCCGGGUAGUCCUGGCCGUAAACGAUGUCCGCUAGGUGUGGCGCAGGCUACGAGCCUGCGCUGUGCCGUAGGGAAGCCGCGAAGCGGACCGCCUGGGAAGUACGUCUGCAAGGAUGAAACUUAAAGGAAUUGGCGGGGGAGCACUACAACCGGAGGAGCCUGCGGUUUAAUUGGACUCAACGCCGGA